UAGUCAGGAUGAUGAGCUAGUUGUAGGG
rnacentral:piRNA from 1 species